rnacentral:rRNA from 1 species
CCAAUAGCGUAUAUUAAAGUUGUUGCAGUUAAAAAGCUCGUAGUUGAACUUCGGGGUUCACCCAUUGGUCAGGCUUAAUUGUCUGUACUGGUGAGAUGAGUCUCUACCUUCUGAGGAACUUUCAUGCCAUUUAUUUGGUGUGGUUGGAAAUCAGGACUGUUACUUUGAAAAAAUUAGAGUGUUUAAAGCAGGCUAACGUCUGAAUACAUUAGCAUGGAAUAAUGAAAUAGGACGGAUUGAUUCUAUUUCGUUGGUUUCUAGGGUCACCGUAAUGAUUAAUAGGGAUAGUUGGGGGCAUUAGUAUUCAAUUGUCAGAGGUGAAAUUCUUGGAUUUAUUGAAGACUAACUACUGCGAAAGCAUUUGCCAAGGAUGUUUUCAUUAAUCAAGAACGAAAGUUAGGGGAUCGAAGACGAUCAGAUACCGUCGUAGUCUUAACCAUAAACUAUGCCGACUAGGGAUCGGACGAAGUUAAUUUUAUAAUGACGCGUUCGGCACCUUACG